rnacentral:ncRNA from 1 species
UGAUUAAAGAUUGCUUUUAUAGAUUUAACAUUUGAUUAUGGUUUGUAAUUUGUUAGAAUAGUAUUAUUUAGUUAUAAUUUAUUGAGUGGGCAAUGAUUUAUUACCCCGGUAAUUAAUUGUUUGUAUAAAACUUGUUCCAGAAUAAUCGGCUAGGCUUGUUAAAUUUAAACUUUAUUUUGUUUUAACUAUAAUUUUUUUGUGUUAAAUUUUAAAAAAUUGUAGGUUAAAUUUUAAUUUUUAAAUAGGUUAAAUUAUAGUUUUAAAAUUUGGGAAUCGAAUCAGAUUAGUACCUGAUUAGGCAAAAUUUAAAAGAGCAGAAGUAAAGUUGUAUUUAAACUGAAAGAAUAUUGGCAGAUUUUCUAAAUUAUCUUUGGAGGUUGAGUAAUAAUUGAGAACCCUCAUUAACUACUUUUGAAUUAGUCUCAUGUAUGAUCGUUUAUUUUAUGCUUAAGGUAUAUAAUAAAAAAUUUUUAUUUAAUAAAAUAGAUAUAUAUUUGGUUUAUGUAGGAGUAAAAUUUGACCUACAAUAAGUCGUGUUUGUGGAUAUAUGUUAAAGUUAAUAUAUUGAAAAUGUAAAAGACAGUAAAAAAAUUUUUAUGAUUUUUUGAAGAUUAUUUAGAUGUGGUACAAAUCAUCCAUCAAUUGCCCAAAGGGGAGUAAGUUGUAGUAAAGUAGAUUUAGGGGAACCUGAAUCUAGUAAUU